AUGUGCCCAGUGAAGCUGUUAUUGCUGGCGUUGAGCGCGAUCAGAUUCUUCAUCACCUUCCAUGUGGCUGAUGGAAAUUCUGAGCUGAACUGGUUGCUCGAGAUGUUGAGUACUUGCAGAGGCCGGUCAGUGGUAACCAAAUAUGGAAGCUCGGGCAGCGGUCCAUUGAGCCGGCUGAAGCUGACGUCGAGGACGAUGAUGCUUCCAGAGAACAUGAGCUCCGGAGGAAGGCCACCUGAGAAGGAGUUGUACGAGAGGUUGACAUGCAGCAGACUGGUGAGGUCGGCCAGGGAUGGCGAGAUGCGCCCUUCAAGUCCUUUAGAUCCCAGGGAGACCUCAGCAACGGCCCCGUCUCCAUUGCAGACGACGCCUUCCCACUCGCAGCAGUCCGUGCCGUUGUCGCGCCACGAUGCAGCGAGGCCGCCGUCUUGUGAUAGUCCGGCAAGGAACUGA
rnacentral:rRNA from 1 species